GAUAACUGGCUUGUGGRGGCCAAGCGUUCAUAGCGACAUCGCUUUUUGAUCCUURGAUGUGGCCUCUUCCUAUCUUUGUGAAGCAGAAUUCGCCAAGCGUAUAUACGGUAGUGUGGAUGAUCUUCCAUAGCGUGCAUAAGUGGGUAGAUAUCGAUAGACU
rnacentral:ncRNA from 1 species